GCCUUUGCCAAUUAUGCAAUUUUCUGGCUCUUGAUACCCAACACAUUCCUUAUACCAUAAAAUCUGUAGGGGGUGGGAAAACCAUAUCAGUCAUAUUCAGCACAUACCUUCUUGCUCAGUCCUGGUCAUUUCUUCUAGUUUCUUCUGCUUCAGUGUGUCCACCACAUCUGCAAGGCUUCCUUUGCGGCGUUCUGGCGUUCCAAAAUUAACACUGGUCAUUAGUUCACUCCGGUCACGACUUCCUUCGUCAGGCUUGUGUGGUGAGGUAGAGGUAUUUCGGAAGGAAUAUAGGGAACAUAACUUAUUACUCUCCGAUUCCAUUCUGUGUU
rnacentral:lncRNA from 1 species